rnacentral:lncRNA from 1 species
UGGUGGUCAUGAUACAGUUUUCCAUGACCAUUUCAAGCAAAUUCCAUGACCGGUACGUCUGCUUGGAAGAAACUGCGCAUUGGAAACAAGCUCUUGAGUGGUAAAAACGAAUUAUGAGGCGCUCAUAUAAAAUAGAAACCAUGCUGCUUUAUUGCAUUCCUUUGGCUGAAAGCAUCCUUUACAAUGAAUAAAAUAUUAAAAGACACAAUAAUUGUCCCUCGACAAACAGAAAAGCUUGUUUAUUUGCAUCGGCAAUGCCUUCACUGUUUCAAAGAUUCAAUCUCUUGCUGCAGCAUGGAGACCUGAAGCUGUGCGUCUUCCAUCAGUUUUUGCUUCCUUGAUUCAAGCUCUUUCACAAGAGCCGCA